rnacentral:rRNA from 1 species
GAUUCUGGCUCAGGAUGAACGCUAGCUACAGGCUUAACACAUGCAAGUCGAGGGGCAGCAUGAUCGAAGCUUGCUUUGAUUGAUGGCGACCGGCGCACGGGUGAGUAACGCGUAUCCAACCUUCCCUAUAGUAGAGAAUAGCCCGGCGAAAGUCGGAUUAAUGCUCUAUGUUGUAUUUAGAAGACAUCUGAAGAAUACCAAAGGUUUACCGCUAUAGGAUGGGGAUGCGUCUGAUUAGGUAGUAGGCGGGGUAACGGCCCACCUAGCCGACGAUCAGUAGGGGUUCUGAGAGGAAGGUCCCCCACAUUGGAACUGAGACACGGUCCAAACUCCUACGGGAGGCAGCAGUGAGGAAUAUUGGUCAAUGGACGGAAGUCUGAACCAGCCAAGUAAGCGUGCAGGAUGACGGCCCUAUGGGUUGUAAACUGCUUUUAUAUAGGGAUAAAGUCGGGGACGUGUCCCCGUUUGUAGGUACUAUAUGAAUAAGGACCGGCUAAUUCCGUGCCAGCCGCCGC